rnacentral:rRNA from 1 species
GGAAUUUUGCGCAAUGGGCGAAAGCCUGACGCAGCGACGCCGCGUGUGCGAUGAAGGCCUUUGGGUCGUAAAGCACUGUCGACCGGGACGAAAACUUACGGGCUAAUACCGCGUAAGCUUGACGGUACUGGUAAAGGAAGCACCGGCUAACUCUGUGCCAGCAGCCGCGGUAAUACAGAGGGUGCAAACGUUGCUCGGAAUUAUUGGGCGUAAAGCGCGUGUAGGCGGCUUGUUAAGUCGGUUGUGAAAACCCAUGGCUCAACCAUGGAAGUGCGUCCGAAACUGGCAAGCUAGAGUCUUGACGAGGAUGGCGGAAUUCCCAGUGUAGAGGUGAAAUUCGUAGAUAUUGGGAGGAACACCGGUGGCGAAGGCGGCCAUCUGGGAAGGUACUGACGCUGAGACGCGAAAGCGUGGGGAGCAAAC